CCGCGGGAUUAGAGUUUGAUCCUGGCUCAGGACGAACGCUGGCGGCGCGCUUAACACAUGCAAGUCGAGCGAGAACCGGUCCUUCGGGACUGGGGAAAGCGGCGAACGGGUGAGUAACACGUGGGUAAUCAACCCUAGGCACUGGGAUAGCCCGAGGAAACUCGGAUUAAUACCGGAUGGCCCAGCAGUCUUUCGGGACGGCUGGAAAAGGUAGCUUCGGCCUCCGGCCUGGGACGAGCCCGCGGCGGAUUAGCUUGUUGGUGGGGUAACGGCCUACCAAGGCGACGAUCCGUAGCUGGUCUGAGAGGACGAUCAGCCACACUGGGACUGAGACACGGCCCAGACUCCUACGGGAGGCAGCAGUGGGGAAUCUUGCACAAUGGGCGAAAGCCUGAUGCAGCGACGCCGCGUGAGGGAAGAAGGCUUUCGGGUUGUAAACCUCUUUCAGGAGGGACGAAGCUACUCGGGUUAAUAGCCCAGAGGGUGACGGUACCUCCAGAAGAAGCCCCGGCUAACUACGUGCCAGCAGCCGCGGUAAUACGUAGGGGGCAAGCGUUGUCCGGAUUUAUUGGGCGUAAAGAGCGUGUAGGCGGCCAGGGAGGUCCGUUGUGAAAACUCGAGGCUCAACCUCGAGACGCCGAUGGAAACCCCCUGGCUAGAGUCCGGAAGAGGAGAGUGGAAUUCCUGGUGUAGCGGUGAAAUGCGCAGAUAUCAGGAAGAACACCCGUGGCUAAGGCGGCUCUCUAGUACGGUACUGACGCUGAGACGCGAAAGCGUGGGGAGCGAACAGGAUUAGAUACCCUGGUAGUCCACG
rnacentral:rRNA from 1 species